CUCUUCUCACUUCCCAAUCUCUCCUCAACACAUGGCCAUCUGUCAUCUACCUCCAAUGUUCCAGAAAGCCAGCUCUCACGAAGGUUACCAGCCACCCAGCCCACUGGUGUUCAGAUGCAGAAUGAACGUAAGAAUGAUGAAGUGGAUGGGCAGAUUUCCAAGGCAG